UGCGUAGGUGGCAAGCGUUGUCCGGAUUUACUGGGCGUAAAGAGCGCGCAGGCGGUCGUUCAAGUCGCGUGUGAAAGCCCCCGGCUCAACUGGGGAGGGUCACGCGAUACUGAUCGACUCGAAGGCAGGAGAGGGUAGUGGAAUUCCCGGUGUAGUGGUGAAAUGCGUAGAUAUCGGGAGGAACACCAGUGGCGAAGGCGACUACCUGGCCUGUUCUUGACGCUGAGGCGCGAAAGCUAGGGGAGCAAACGGG
rnacentral:rRNA from 1 species